rnacentral:rRNA from 1 species
GUCUAUUUGGAGAUAUAAAUAGUCUGGCCUGCUCACUGAUAUAAGAAAUUUAAGAGCCGCGGUAUUUUGACCGUGCAAAGGUAGCAUAAUCAUUAGUUUUUUAAUUGAGAACUUGUAUGAAUGGUCGGACAAAGGAAAAGCUGUCUCUGUUAUAAAGAUUGAAAUUAACUUUUAAGUGAAAAGGCUUAAAUAAUUCAAGGGGACGAUAAGACCCUAUAAAGCUUUAUAAAUUGAUUAAAUUUUAUUAAAUUAUAAGAUAAAGAUUUAGUUUAGUUGUUUUAUUUUAUUGGGGCGAUAAAAAUAUAAUUAAUAUUAACUGUUUAAAAGUUAUACAAUAAUAGUUGAAUAAAAAUUAAAAGAUCCUUUUUAAUGAUUUAAAGACUAAGUUACUUUAGGGAUAACAGCGUUAUUUUUUUUGAGAGUUCAUAUCGAAAAAAAAGUUUGCGACCUCGAUGUUGAAUUAAAAUAUCUUUAUGGCGUAGCCGUUAUAUAAGAGGGUCUGUUCGACCUUU